GGCCACGUAGCUCAAUGGUUAAAGCACUUGGUUAAGGUACUUGGCAUAUAUUUGGGGGCCUGGGUUCAAAUCACAUUACGGUCA